GAUGAACGCUGACAGAAUGCUUAACACAUGCAAGUCAACUUGAACUUCGGUUUGGGUGGCGGACGGGUGAGUAACGCGUAAAGAACUUGCCUCACAGAUAGGGACAACAUUUGGAAACGAAUGCUAAUACCUGAUAUUAUGAUUUUAGGGCAUCCUAGGAUUAUGAAAGCUAUAUGCACUGUGAGAGAGCUUUGCGUCCCAUUAGCUAGUUGGAGAGGUAACGGCUCACCAAGGCGAUGAUGGGUAGCCGGCCUGAGAGGGUGAUCGGCCACAAGGGGACUGAGACACGGCCCUUACUCCUACGGGAGGCAGCAGUGGGGAAUAUUGGACAAUGGACCAAGAGUCUGAUCCAGCAAUUCUGUGUGCACGAUGAAGUUUUUCGGAAUGUAAAGUGCUUUCAGUUGGGAAGAAAAAAAUGACGGUACCAACAGAAGAAGUGACGGCUAAAUACGUGCCAGCAGCCGCGGUAAUACGUAUGUCACAAGCGUUACCCGGAUUUAUUGGGCGUAAAGCGCGUCUAGGUGGUUAUGUAAGUCUGAUGUGAAAAUGCAGGGCUCAACUCUGUAUUGCGUUGGAAACUGUGUAACUAGAGUACUGGAGAGGUAAGCGGAACUACAAGUGUAGAGGUGAAAUUCGUAGAUAUUUGUAGGAAUGCCGAUGGGGAAGCCAGCUUACUGGACAGAUACUGACGCUGAAGCGCGAAAGCGUGGGUAGCAAACAGG
rnacentral:rRNA from 1 species